rnacentral:rRNA from 1 species
GCAAGUCGAACGAGACCUUCGGGUCUAGUGGCGCACGGGUGCGUAACGCGUGGGAAUCUGCCCUUGGGUACGGAAUAACUCAGAGAAAUUUGUGCUAAUACCGUAUAAUGACUUCGGUCCAAAGAUUUAUCGCCCAAGGAUGAGCCCGCGUAAGAUUAGCUAGUUGGUGGGGUAAAAGCCUACCAAGGCGACGAUCUUUAGCUGGUCUGAGAGGAUGAUC